ACUCGUGUACUUCCUGUUAGGUUAGCCUCGCUUUUGAACCUUUCAGCUUACAUGCGUCUAUGAUAUUCCUGAGCCCUGUCUGAAAGCAACCAACAGAUGUCCAAGAAUGGAGGAGAAGAUCUUUGUUGAUGACAGCACCUGUACCAUCUUUAGAGUUUAGAACUUCUUUUUUUCUGUGCAGCAAGAGAAUACUUACAGCCUAUUAUUGCAAUGGGAAAACUCAAAUGUCCUGUCUUAGUUUGGGUUUUACUGCUGUGAACAGACUCCAUGACCAAGACAACUCUUGUAGAAAUAACAUUUAAUUGGGGCUGGCUUACAGGUUCAGGGGUUCAGUCCAUUAUCAUCAAGGCAGGAACACGGCAU